rnacentral:ncRNA from 24 species
CAGGUUUAAGGAGAUGGCGUUCUCCUUGAUGCUCAUAAAAGCAUCAAAACCGCCUCACAUAUAAGGCUAAUAACGCCUACCUGCUC